rnacentral:lncRNA from 1 species
CUUUUGUACAUAUAUGUGGGAUGUUUUAGAACGCAGUGACGUACAAUGAUGUACUGGUGAGCUUUACUCAGGAAGAAUGGGCUUUGCUGGAUCCUUCCCAGAAGAGUCUCUACAAAGAUGUGAUGCUCGAAACCUAUAGGAACCUCACUGCCAUAGGCUAUAACUGGGAAGAAGAUAAUAUUGAAGAAGAUUGUGAAAAUUCUGGAAGACCCACUAGGCAUCUUCAAAGGGAUGGACCAAGUAAUACUGCAGAGAAACCCUUUGAAUAUAUUCAAUAUGAUGGAGCCUUUGCAAGAAACCAUCAUCAUCAGUUACAUAAGAGCACUGGAUCUUUCAUGUCUUAUACUGAUCAUCAAAUACAUAGAAGAGAACACACUGAAGAAAAAUUCUAUGAUGGUAACCAAUGUGGUAAAACCUUUUCAUGUCACAGCCAUUUUGAAAUUCGUAAAGGAACAUAUACUGGAGAAAAACCCUAUGAAUGUAAUCAAUGUGGGAAAACCUUUGCAGGUCACAGCAAUCUUCAAAUCCAUAAAAGAAUACAUACUGGAGAGAAACCCUAUAAAUGUAAGCAAUGUGGCAAAGACUUUACACAUCACAGUACUCUUCAUAUCCAUAAAAGAAUACAUACUGGAGAGAAACCCUAUAAAUGUAACCAAUGUGGCAGAACCUUUGCACAAUUUGGUCAUCUUCAAUGUCAUAAAAUAACACAUACUGGAGAGAAACUCUAUCAAUGUAACCAAUGUGGGAAAGCCUUUACAUAUUCCAAAACUCUUAAAAUCCAUAAAGAAGAAACACAUACUGGAGAGAAACCCUAUGAAUGUAAUCAAUGUGGCAAAGCCUUUGCAUGUCGCAGAUAUCUUCGAAUCCAUAAAAAAACACAUACUGGAGAGAAACCCUAUGAAUGUAACCAAUGUGGCAAAGCCUUUGCAUAUCACAGAACUCUUCAGAUCCAUAAAAGAAAACAUACUGGAGAGAAACCCUAUGAAUGUAACCAAUGUGGCAAAGCCUUUGCAUAUCAUAAAACUCUUCAAAUCCAUGAAAGAACACACACUGGAGAGAAACUCUAUCAAUGUAACCAAUGUGGCAAAGCCUUUGCAUAUCACAGAACUCUUCGAAUCCAUAAAAGAACACAUACUGGAGAGAAACUCUAUGAAUGUAAUCAAUGUGGCAAAGCCUUUGCAUGUCUUGGAAAUCUUCAAAAACAUAAAACAACACAUACUGGAGAGAAACCCUAUGAAUGUAACCAGUGUGGCAAAGCCUUUAAACAAUAUGUUCAUCUUCAGUGUCAUCAAAGGAUACAUACUGGAGAGAAACCCUAUGAAUGUAAACAAUGUGGCAAAGCUUUUACAUGUCACAGUAGUCUUCAAAUCCAUAAAAGAACACACACUGGAGAGAAACCCUAUGAAUGUAAUCAAUGUGGCAAAGCCUUUGCAGGUCACAGCAAUCUUCAAAGACAUAAAAGAACACAUACUGGAGAGAAACUCUAUGAAUGUAAACAAUGUGGUAAAGCAUUUACAUGUCACAGUUAUCUUAAAAUCCAUGAAAGGAGACAUACUGGAGAGAAACCCUAUGAAUGUAAACAAUGUGGCAAAGCCUUUGCAUGUUACAAAUCUUUUCAAAUCCAUAAAAGAACACAUACCGGAGAAAAACCCUAUGAAUGUAAUCAAUGUGGCAAAGCCUUUGCAUGUCGCAGAUACCUUCAAAUCCAUAAAAGAACACAUACUGGAGAGAAACCCUAUGAAUGUAAACAAUGUGGCAAAGCCUUUGCAUAUCACAGAACUCUUCAAGUCCAUAAAAGAACACAUACUGGAGAGAAACCUUAUGAAUGUAAUCAAUGUGGCAAGGCCUUUGCAUGUCACAGAUAUCUUCAAAUGCAUAUAAGAACACAUACUGGAGAGAAACCCUAUGAAUGUAACCAGUGUGGCAGAGCCUUUACACAAUUUGUUCAUCUUCAAUGUCAUGAAAUAACACAUACUGAAGAGAAACCCUAUGAAUGUAACUAAUGUGGCAAAACCUUUAAACGUCACAGUACUCUUCAAAUCCAUAAAAGAACACAUAGUGGAGAAAAACCGUAUGAAUGUAAUUAAUGUGGCAAAGUCAUUGCAGGUCACAGUACUCUUCGAAAUCAUAAAAGAAUACAUACUAGAGAAAAAAUCUAAUAAAGCCAUUUGUUAGCAGUCACCUCCUAAGGGAUGCAACAUAGUUUGUGGGAAUAUAGUGGGUGGGUUUUUCUGAUUCUUUUGCCUUCUUUCGAGAUGGUUCUUGUCUUAAUUAUUUUCUUUGCUAGGUUUCAUAUGAGGGUUUGUGCCUAUUUUUAUUAAAAUAUGGUAUGCCUUGUUCAUUUGAUAUCCCCAAGUAUGCUGCUCUUUUUUCAGGGGAAAUGGUAGAAUAUAUGGGUGUGAUGUUAGUUUGGGAGGGCUAUAGAGAAGUGGAGGGAUGUGUACUGUGGUCCAGAUAUAAAGUGGGAGAUGAGAACAAGGUAAAAAAAUGAAAAGAAUGUAACUGUACAUAUUUACACACACCCCUUUUAAACAAGGUAUGAAUUAAGUAUAUAAUAAGUUGUAACAAACUAAGAUAACCUAGGUAUAGAAUUUUGAGUAUAUGUCUCCAUGCCCUCAAGGAUCAUAAGGCGAUAUUGGUUCAUCAGGUCAAUUGGAGCACACAGCAAACUUGAGGUUCACAAGCCCAGUGCAAAUGGACCAUGAAUGAUCAAUCCAGUACCAGCGGCAGGGAGUCUGAACACCUUUUUGGUGAUUGGAGGCUUAUAUAAUUUGCAGGACUGGGGAUAGGAACUUCCAGAAUGGGUAUAGCUGAAUGCUGAGAAUACCAAAAUGCCUCAUUGGCAGGGGCAAGCCUUUCAGGAAUCUGAGAAUAUAGGAGUAUGGGUUUCUUAAUCAGGAUGAAGUUAGUUUAUUUUAUAUUCCAGUUACGUCACUGUGACAUUCCUAAGGGUGAGUUUUGUGCAAGGGCUUUAAAUUCCCCAGACAAGGUUAGAAAAGUAGAAACCCCGAAAAUGAAGGCCAUUUUCC